rnacentral:lncRNA from 1 species
AUCUUUAUAUUAAAUGUCUAUCUUUUUGUUAAAGUCAGCUAUAUUGAUUUCAUUGAGAAUGAGCUUCAUUAAGGACAGGUAAUAUCUGGCUUAAUAAUAAUUUUUCUCUCAAAGGAUGGCAAAAUGCCUGGCCCUUAAUAUUAAUAAUAGUUACAAUGCUAUUUAUUAAUUUAAUUUAUUAUUAAUGAAUUAAUAGUACUAAUAUUGCUCAUUGAUUGUUUAUUAUGUGUCAGACCCUGAAUCAUUAUGUUGACACAUUUAAUCCUCGUAACAGCCCUAUAAAGUAGGUACAAUAUCUAUUCUCAUUUUGCAGAAAAGAAAAAUGAAAACAAAGAGUUUCAGUAAUUUUUUUGGAUUCACUCAAUUGAAGUAUUCUUUUAUGUAUGUAAAAGGAGCAUAUGGGAAAAGGCUUCAAAAUGAAGUGUAAGGACAGGUAACAUCUGGUUUACCAAACAGAAUGUCUGAAAUUAAAAAGACUGAUAAUAUUAAUGGGCAUGUGGAGCAAAUCAAAUUCACACACUGUUAGCAAGUGUGUAAAAUGGUUAACCACUUUGGGAAACUAUUUGGCAAUUUUUAUGAAGUUUAACAUACACCUUCCCUGUGACCCAGCAAGUGAUGUGGUUCAAUAUAGGCUCAGACUGGAAAUAACUCAAAUGUCUAUCACAAGGACAAUAGAUAAAUGCCCUAUGGUGCAUACAAUGGGAUAUUACCCAGAAAUUUAAAAAGUAGAGCAAACUCUUGAUGCACACAAUAACAUGAAUGAAUCUCAAAAAUUUUAUGAUAGCAAAAACAUAAGGCAAACAAAAUAGUGCAUACAGUAAUAUUUCACUUGUGUGGCAUUCAGGAAAACAUCAAACUAAUUUAGCAGAAUAAAAUCACAACUGUGCUUCCCAAGGAAUGGAAGGGAGAGUUGGGGAAGCUGAUGGCAAUGGGGCACAGGAAACUUUCGGAAAUAACAGAAAUGCUCUUUGUAUUGAUCUGAGUGAUGGUUAUAAGAGUGUACACACUUGUCAUAAGUCACUGAGCUGUACAAUUAAGAUCAUUGUAUUUCAUUACAUGUAAAUGAUAUCUAAAAAUGUAUGAUUGAAAUGAAAAAGAAGCUUAAAAUAGUAAGAUUUGUUUUAACAAAGAAAAAUGUUCAACAAAAGACAUAGCAGGCCAAUUGUGGUGACUCAUGCCUAUAAACCUAGCACUUUGGGAAGCCGAAGGGGGCAGAUCACUUGAGGUCAGAAGUUCAAGACCAGUCUGGGCAACAUGGUGAAAGCCCUUCUCUCCUAAUAAUACAAAAACUAGCUGGGUGUGGUGAUGUGUGCCUGUAAUCCCAGCUACUCGGGAGGCUGAGACACGAGAAUCCCUUGAACCUGGGAGGCGGAGGUUGCAGUGAGCCAAGAUUGCACCACCGCACUCCAGCCUCGUUGACAGAGUGGAGUGUGGAGUCUCAAAAAAACAAAAAACAAAACCUAGACAUUGCUAAUAAGAAAGGGAGAAAUUUUUGCUCCAUUUUUGUUGCUAUGAAGGACUACUUGAGGCUGGGUCAUUUAUAAAGAAAAUAGAUUCCAUUGGCUCAUGGGUCUGCAGGCUGUACAGGAUACAUGGCGCUGGCAUCUGCUUCUGGUGACUGCCUCUGGAAGCUUCCAAUCAUGACGGAGGGCAAAGGGUGAGAAGGUGUGUCAUGGUGACAGUGAGAGUGGGAGCUAGGUGGGGGAAGGUGCCACAUUCUUUUAGACAACCAGCUAUCACAUGAACUCAGAACGAGAACUCACUUAACACCAAGGAGAUGGUACUAAGCCAUUUAUAAGGGAUCUGCUUCCAUGACCUAAUCACCUCCCACCAGGCCCCACUUCCAACAUCGAGGAUCACAUUUCAACAUGAGAUUUGAAGGGGACAAAACAUCCAAACCACAACACAGAGAAAUGCACUGAGUCAUUUUUCUGUGAUGAGAUAUAUGUGGUACAGCCUAAAAGCAACUAACUGACUUUAACAGGAUACAAUUUUUAUGAAAUCAAGUCCCAAGCCAAGUGUAUAUUUCAUAAUCUAGUGCCUACUAUUUUAAUUCCUUCUGUAUACCAAAAAAUGCACUUAAAGAAUCAAAAUUUUAAAUCACAGAGAAGGAAC